rnacentral:rRNA from 2 species
UUUAUUGGAGAGUUUGAUCCUGGCUCAGGAUGAACGCUGGCGGCGUGCCUAAUACAUGCAAGUCGAGCGAAUGGAUUAAGAGCUUGCUCUUAUGAAGUUAGCGGCGGACGGGUGAGUAACACGUGGGUAACCUGCCCAUAAGACUGGGAUAACUCCGGGAAACCGGGGCUAAUACCGGAUAAUAUUUUGAACUGCAUGGUUCGAAAUUGAAAGGCGGCUUCGGCUGUCACUUAUGGAUGGACCCGCGUCGCAUUAGCUAGUUGGUGAGGUAACGGCUCACCAAGGCAACGAUGCGUAGCCGACCUGAGAG